UACGGGGGGGGCUAGCGUUGUUCGGAAUUACUGGGCGUAAAGCGUGCGUAGGCGGUUCUCCAAGUCCGUUGUGAAAGCCCCGGGCUCAACCUGGGAAUGGCAGUGGAAACUAGGGGACUGGAAUCUGGCAGAGGGGGGUGGAAUGCCGCGUGUAGCAGUGAAAUGCGUAGAGAUGCGGCGGAACACCGAUGGCGAAGGCAGCCCCCUGGGCUGAGAUUGACGCUCAGGCACGAAAGCGUGGGGAGCAAACAGG
rnacentral:rRNA from 1 species